CCCUAUACUGCCCGCGUUGCGUUCUAAAACCCUUAAUAUUGCAGGAGAAUUAUUAUGGUACUGGUUACUCGUCAGGCCCCGGAUUUCACCGCUGCGGCGGUACUGGGUAGCGGUGAGAUUGUUGAUAAAUUCAACUUCAAACAGCACACCAAUGGUAAAACGACCGUUCUGUUCUUCUGGCCGAUGGACUUCACUUUUGUUUGCCCGUCUGAGCUGAUCGCCUUUGAUAAACGUUAUGAAGAAUUCCAGAAGCGCGGCGUUGAAGUGGUUGGCGUUUCUUUCGACUCUGAGUUCGUCCACAACGCAUGGCGUAACACCCCUGUCGAUAAAGGCGGCAUUGGCCCGGUGAAAUACGCAAUGGUCGCCGACGUGAAGCGUGAAAUUC
rnacentral:misc_RNA from 1 species